rnacentral:lncRNA from 1 species
UCAAUUCAGGGGGAUCAGUGAUUGGUGUGACAAACAGAUUAUCCUCCCUGUUAAUCAACCCCGAAAAAUCUCCCUCUCUCUUUCUCUCUCUCCCUCCCUCUCUCUUUCUCUCUUUCUCUCUCUCCCUCUCUCUUCCUCUCCCUCUCUCUCUCUUUCUCUCCAUCUCUCUUUCUCUCUCCCCAUCCCUUUCUUCUCCCCCUCUCUCUCCCUCUCUCUCUUUCUCUCUCUCCCACUCUCUUUCUCUCUCUUUCUCUCUCUCCCUCUCCCUUUCUCCCUAUCCCUUUCUUCUCUCCCUCUCUCUUUCUCUCCCUCUGUCUCUCUUCCUCUCUCUCCCUCUCUCUCCAUCUCUCUCUUUCUCUCUCCCUCUCUCUUUCUCUCUCUUUCUCCCUCUCUCUUUCUUUCUAUCCCUGUCUCUCUUUCUCUCUCUCCCACUCUCUUUCUCUCUCUUUCUCGCUCUCCCUCUCCCUCUUUCUCCCCAUCCCUUUCUUCUCUCCCUCUCUCUCCCUCUCUCUUUUCUCUCUCUCUCUCUCUCUUUCUCCCCAUCCCGUUUUUCUCUCCCUCUCUGCACUUCUGCACUCAUCGUCACACACACACACUUGCUUCAAUACAACACAUUUACCAAACAUCACACACACACACUGAGCACAUCUACCAAACAUCACACACACACACUUGCUUCAAUACAACACAUUUACCAAACAUCACACACACACACUGAGCACAUCUACCAAACAUCACACACACACACUUGCUUCAAUACAACACAUUUACCAAACAUCACACACACACACUGAGCACAUCUACCAAACAUCACACACACACACUUGCUUCAAUACAACACAUUUCCCAAACAUCACACACACACACUGAGCACAUCUACCAAACAUCACACACACACACUGAUCACAUUUCCCAAACAUCACACACACACACUGAUCACAUCUACCAAACAUCACACACACACCUAGCACAUCUACCAAACAUCACACACACACACUGAUCACAUUUCCC